CUUCACCCCUGAAAACAACAUGGAUGAUGAGUGCAGACUGCAAAACAGCUCACUGGCAAUUGCUCUCAAUUCACUCAAACCCUGCGAAGACUGAUGCCUUGUCAUGAAGACAUAAGGAUCUGAAAUAAAGUGGCACUUUGGAGCUAACCAUGGGUCUUUCUCAUCAUUCUCAUUUCAUGCUGAGCAGCUUCUGGCCUAUUAAAAGCAGAUGAGAAGUUCACCAGUGCUCUAUCAUCUUCUUGGUGACCUACUGGCACCAACUACAGCAGAUCCACUGUGCAU